ACCAUAGGCAGCAAUACCUCGUUUGGCUACUUCGAUAAGCUUGGAGAAAAUAUAUUCCCCUUGCCAUGAGCUGGGAUUCCACACUGGCAGGUCAUCAGAUUGUAGUGUCCAAUAAGAAGAUGCAAUAUAUACACUUGAUUUGGCUCUGUUUAAGAGCUUCAACCAUCCAUGGAAAGUGGACAUGUGCCUUGGAGCACCAUGAUGAUAUCUUAAGUUUUGAGUAUACAUAAGAAGAUUGCACCGCCGACAAGAACGAUAAUGGCAACCGAUACCGAAGAGCAAAUUAAAGUUUUCCGGCGUUCGCUUGACUUAUGAAACAUUUGCUUCAACUUUAUAUGAUCCGUUGUUGCAGCGGCAUCCAUUUUUCCCAAUAAUUAAAUGUUUCCUCGAAUUAAUGACCGAAUGCCAAAACGUAAUCGAAUAACUUUUUUGUGACAUCAAUAAAUGAUAUGCUAAUAGUAUAAUACAAACUUUUACGUUAGUCUCAGAAAAAGACCUUUCACAACAGGAGGUGAUAAUUGCUAUUCUUGGUAGUGUGAUACCUGCGAAUGGCAAAAAUAGCUCCAGUUCCAGUGCCUGCAGUGACUCGCUGCAGUGGCUCGCAUGCGCAAGCUCGACACAGCUUUUGACCAUUUUUGGAGCUAUCGAAUAUGGGGUAAUUGUAAUGAUCAUGUCUAUUAAAACAAAGUUAAAUCCUUA